CAGUCGCCGCGGGAAUACGUAGGUGGCAAGCGUUGUCCGGAAUUAUUGGGCGUAAAGGGCUCGCAGGCGGUUUCUUAAGUCUGAUGUGAAAGCCCACGGCUCAACCGGGGAGGGUCAUUGGAAACUGGGAAACUUGAGUGCAGAAGAGGAGAGCGGAAUUCCACGUGUAGCGGUGAAAUGCGUAGAGAUGUGGAGGAACACCAGUGGCGAAGGCGACUCUCUGGUCUGUAACUGACGCUGAGGAGCGAAAGCGUGGGGAGCGAACAGGAUUAGAUACCCCAGUAGUCCCUGUCUCUUAUAC
rnacentral:rRNA from 1 species